CCCACUAUGCCUAGCCAUAACAUACAAUCAAACUACAAAUUGUUCGCCAAACAACUACGAGUAAUACUUAAAACUUAAAAGACUUGACGGUACUUCACCCCGACCUAGAGGAGCCUGUCUAAUAACCGAUAAUCCACGAUUAACCCAACCACUUCUUGCCCUACAGUCUAUAUACCGCCGUCGCCAGCUUACCUUGUAAAAGAAAUAAAGUGAGCCAAAUAGUAACACACUAAAACGACAGGUCGAGGUGUAACCCAUGAAGGGGUUAAGAUGGGCUACAUUCUCCAACAGAGAAUACGAACAACACUAUGAAAUUAAUGUUCGAAGGCGGAUUUAGCAGUAAGAUAAGAAUAGAACACCUAACUGAAAAUAACGCAAUGAAGUGCGUACACACCGCCCGU
rnacentral:rRNA from 1 species